GUGUAGUCUUGGAGAAUGUCAGACGUAUUUCUUUGUAUUUCUUGACAGUCCUUAGAGAAAGUAUGUAAUAAUCGCAUUCGGUCGCUGAUCGAACACUCAUCAUCAUUUUGCAAAAUGGUGCAACAAGAAGCGGUGAUCGUAAGAAAUGCCAUAAAGCAUUAUGGGAAAGGACAGUUGGUGCUUAACGGUCUGAAUAUGACCGUUUCAAGAGGUUCCAUAUAUGGAUUGUUGGGAGCGAGCGGAUGCGGCAAAACCACUCUGCUGUCCUGCAUCGUCGGAGUUCGAUAUCUUGACAGUGGAGAGAUAUGGGUCUUAGGAGGAAAUCCGGGCAGCAAAGACUCUGGCAUCCCCGGGCCUCGAGUGGGUUACAUGCCACAAGAGAUCUCUUUGGUCGGAGAGUUUUCUGUAAACGGUGCUUUAUAUUAUUUUGGCAGGAUCAAUGGGCUCGACAAUGAAGAGAUCGAGACAAGACAGAAGUUCUUUUCGGAUUUGCUCCAACUACCUCCAGCGGAUCGCUUAGUGAAGAACAUGAGUGGAGGUCAGCAAAGAAGAGUUUCCUUUGCUGCCGCAUUGAUCCAUAGGCCCGAACUCUUAAUCCUGGACGAACCCACUGUGGGCUUAGAUCCAAUUUUAAGGGAGAACAUUUGGGCCUACUUGAGCCAAAUCACGCAAGAGGAAGGUAUUACUGUGCUGAUCACGACGCAUUACGUCGAAGAAACUAAAGAUGCUAAUAAAAUUGGUUUGAUGAGAUGUGGUAAAUUGUUAACGGAAUCAGCGCCGCAAAAAUUACUGGAGCAGUUUCAAUGCUCGUUCUUGGAAGAAGCUUUCCUGAAACUGUGCGAGAUACAGAAUAAUACUUUGAAUAAUGAAGUUGAGAGAUUCAAAGUGGAAGAUAUCAGCAGCGACGUCUUGUCUCAAAAUGAAUAUGAACGAACAAAAGUAAUCUCGGAAUACAAAGAGGUUUCGAAACGUCAAAUUUCACGAUUGAAAAUAUUCAGAGCUCUAUUGACGAAGAAUGGUAUACAAUACUUUCGUUAUUAUGGAGGAUUAGUUUUCGCAAUAAUAUUUCCAAUAAUUCAAAUCUUCGUAUUUAUUAUGGCAAUUGGCAAUGAUCCGAAAGAUUUGAAGAUUGGAAUUGUUAAUGAUGAGGCGGGUACUUGCAGUAGCAACUUUGGUCAUAUUUGGAAUGACGAAAUCACCUGUCAUUUUCGCAAUCUCAGUUGUAGAUUUUUACAUAAUUUUGAUGAUUCUAUUGCGACACAGGAGUAUUAUGAUAAAGUUUCUGAAGCGAAUCAUGUUGUACAAAAUGGUAAACUUAGCGGUUUACUGUAUUUUAGUCAAAACUUCUCAGAAGCUUUGCAGAAACGAAUGGAAGAAGGUGUUUUCACGACAGAUUCCAAUUUACUCGCCAGUCAGAUUCAAGUUUCCCUUGAUAUGGGUGAUAGACAAAUUGGGCUUUUCUUGCAGAUGAAGAUAUUUAAGCGUUUUUUAGAGGUUUUUGAGAAUAUCAUGAAGGAUUGCAAAUAUUCGCCAAAAUUGGUUGAUCCACCCAUUAGAUUUGAAGAACCUAUUUAUGGUACGAUCGAUCUCAAUUAUGCGGAUUACAUGGCACCAGCAUACAUGUUAACAUCGGAUGGAGGGUAUCUGGGAUCGAAGCGUAGUCCAAGGGGUCAAGACACAAGAUAUUCUGCUAUCCCACAUUCUUAUUCAGAGCAUCAGCAUAAUUAUCCAUACUGUUAUGAUAGUGCUUUUAUUCUUUCCUAUAUGGGGUUUAGAAUGCAAAGGAUCAAUAUUUACUGUAAUAAUCCUCAUAUUUUUCGUCGGUUUUUGCGGACUGAUGCAUGGUUUCAUUAUUUCUACUAUGUGUAACAAUCACACUAUGGCGAAUUACUGCUCGGCCGGAAGCUUUUUCCCGUUAAUAUUAACAUCCGGAUGUAUAUGGCCGGUGGAAGGAAUGCCAAAAGGACUUCGCUGGUUUAGCUAUACAUUGCCAACUACGUUACCCUCU
rnacentral:misc_RNA from 1 species